rnacentral:rRNA from 1 species
GAAGAACGCUGGCGGCGUGCCUAAUACAUGCAAGUCGAGCGGACGAAUCGAAAGCUUGCUUUUGAUUCGUUAGCGGCGGACGGGUGAGUAACACGUGGGCAACCUGCCCUGUAGACGGGGAUAACACCGAGAAAUCGGUGCUAAUACCGGAUAACACGAAAUGUCGCAUGACGUUUCGUUGAAAGACGGCGCAAGCUGUCGCUACAGGAUGGGCCCGCGGCGCAUUAGCUAGUUGGUGAGGUAACGGCUCACCAAGGCGACGAUGCGUAGCCGACCUGAGAGGGUGAUCGGCCACACUGGGACUGAGACACGGCCCAGACUCCUACGGGAGGCAGCAGUAAGGAAUCUUCCGCAAUGGACGAAAGUCUGACGGAGCAACGCCGCGUGAGCGAAGAAGGCCUUCGGGUCGUAAAGCUCUGUUGUUAGGGAAGAACAAGUAACGCAGUAACUGGCGUUACCGUGACGGUACCUAACGAGAAAGCCACGGCUAACUACGUG